GCGGAGGGAGCCGCGGGAUGGACCGCAGGUGAGGCCGAUCGCUCUUCCAGGGACUACAGGAGGCUGGGGAGGACCAACGGCGAGAGCAGCACAGCCUAGGGACGGGCUGGAUAGGGUCUGGAGUCGCUAGGGCUCCACCGCACUGGAACUACAGUUCCCAACAUGCUCCACAGCCGUUGGCCUCUCCAGCCGUAGCCGUUAGCAUCCCGGGGGUCCCCUAAGAGUCUUAUGUUCCUCUCUGAGUGGGCCCCAAGGAAUUAUUUCCUCUAAAGGUGUCCAAGAAAGGCUUGAGAUCUGAAUUUCUUCAUUUUGAAAUGGCCCCCAGACACGCCUGGGCGUUGUCUUUGAACUUUCUCGCGGAGGCGGAGCCCAGUGGAUCCUGGGGCUUGUAGUCCAUCUACCCUUUGCCUUCGUGUCCCCCAAGAAUGUAUGGGAAAUGCUCGGUGAUAUAAUCCAGCCGCGGUUCUUUCUUUCUUUCUUUUUUUUUUUUUUAAGACAGAGUCUCUCGCUCUGUUGGCCCAGACUGGAGUGCAGUGGCACAAUCUUGGCUACUGCAACCUCUGCCCCCUGGGUUAAAGCAAUUCUCAUGCCUCAGCCUCCCAGGUAGCUGGGACUACAGGCACCUGCCACCGCGCCUGGCUAAUUUUUUAUAUUUUUAGUAGAGACGGGGUUUCGCCAUGUUAGUAAGGCUGGUCUCGAACUCCUGACCUCAAGUGAUCCACCCGCCUCGGUGUAAUCCCAAAGUGCUGGGAUUACAGGCGUGAGCCACCACGCCCGGCGAGCCGCGGUUCUUAACCUGAACUCCACUUCGCAAUCACCUGGGAGGCUGCGGAAAAGACACGGAGGCCCAGCCCCACUAAUAGAUAUUCUGAUUCUGUUGGUCUGGAAUGGGAACCGCGCGCCUGUAACGUUGAAAAGCCCCUCCUAGACUGGAUCCAGGGUUGAGAACCACCGGCUGUCAGUUCCUGAGUUGCUCCCUGUUAAGACUGCUCCAAGGGCGGGCUCCCAGGACUCACCCUUCCACUGUCACUAUCCUGAAUGUGCAACGGUGCUUCAUGGAAAUAACAGUCCCUCUCCUCCAGGAAUCUAUGGGAAUUGUCUGGUUCUGCCCUCCUCUAAUGUCCCCCUCCCCAGGGCUGCGGCGAAACCACGUGCUGCCUGAACGCCACUUUCCUCUUGCAGCCUGCCAGUUUUCUCCAUUCAAGAUAGUCCCUUAGGAGAUGCGCCCCUGGGUCGAAGCCACUACUGGCCAUCCCAGAGCCAGACCUGGUGUUCCAAGGUGAGGACAACCCUCAAAGAGUGCUGAGUGCCAGCCCAGUAGCAAGAGAAUGACCUUUAGAGGGUAGGAAGACAUGUGAUGAGAGAUAGGGAUGAGAGAUUUAAGAGACAGCCCCUUCUCCCCUCCCCACGGCCCUGCCCUUGUCCCCCUCUCUACCACCUGGAUUCCCCAUCUGAGCCCCCAUCACACUAGGUUGUUAUCAUUACAGGAUGUGUUUCCUCCCCUCUGGACUGAGACUUUGUGUGUGUCUUGGUUCCCCUGCAGGGAUGACCCAUGAGACCUCACACUUUUUCUUCUUGUGCUCUUCCCUGAUCUUAGACCCUGAGCCCAUCCAGGUCUCAGAGAUCCAGGCUCCCACAAGCUCCCAAGGCUCUAGCCACAGGUCCCAACUCCCCUGAGCUGUUUGAGGAGUCCUGGCCAUCCAGUUCAGGGACCCCUUCCCUGCCCAGCACCACUGAGGGACAGAUGGGGGCCUCCCCAGCACCCACCCUGAUUGACAGCGGGGAUUCCGUGGUGGCCAAGUAUAUAAACAGGUUCCGCCAGGCUCAGCCCACCAGUCGAGAGGAGCGCCAGCCUGCAGGCCCAACCCCAGCUGACUUUUGGUGGCUGCGGUCUGACUCUCCAGACCCCAGCAGUCAAAGUGCAGCAGCAGGAGCCAACAAACCAGAAGGAAGACCCCAUACAGCUGUCCCUACUGCGGUCAACGUGACCAGUGCAUCCCAUGCUGUGGCUCCCCUUCAGGAAAUAAAGCAGGUGACAUCCCCAUGCACUCCCUCCCUUGGGUGCCUGAACUGACAACACCAGCCCUAGGAUAGAAUUAGAAGAUCAGGAGCAGUGGCUCACACCUGUAAUCCCAGCACUUUGGGAGGCCAAGGUGAGAGGACUGCUUGAGGCCAGGAGUUCAAGACCAGCUUGGGUGACAUGGUGAGAUUCUGCCUCUACUAAAAAAAAAAAGAGAGAGAGAGAGAACCAGGUGUGGUGGUAUGUACCUGUAAUCCCAGCUACUUGAGAGCCUGAGGCUGGAGGAUGGCUUGAGCCUAGGAGUUCAAGGCUGCUGUGAGCUAUGAUCAUGCCACUGCACUCCAGCCUGGGCAGUAGAGCAAGACCCUGUCUCUAUUUAAAAAAAAAAACAAAAAAGUCUGGGCACCGUGGCUCAUGCCUAUAAUCCCAGCACUUUGGGAGGCUGAGGCAGGCAGAUCACGAGGUCAGGAGUUCAGGACCAGCCUGACCAACAUGGUGAAACCCCGUCUCUACUAAAAAUACAAAAAUUAGCCGGGCGUGGUGGUGCACACCUGUAAUCCCAGCUACUCAGGAGCCUGAGGCAGGAGAAUUGCUUGAACCCGGGAGGCGGAGGUUGCAGUGAGCCAAGAUAGCGCCAGCGCACUCCAGCCUGGCGACAGCAAGACUCCAUCUC
rnacentral:sRNA from 1 species